CCUACGGGAGGCAGCAGUGAGGAAUAUUGGUCAAUGGCCGUAAGGCUGAACCAGCCAAGUCGCGUGAAGGAAGAAGGAUCUAUGGAUUGUAAACUUCUUUUAUAGGGGAAUAAAGGUAUCCACGUGUGGCUAUUUGCAUGUACCCUAUGAAUAAGCAUCGGCUAACUCCGUGCCAGCAGCCGCGGUAAUACGGAGGAUGCGAGCGUUAUCCGGAUUUAUUGGGUUUACAGGGUGCGUAGGUUGUUGUUUAAGUCAGCGGUGAAAGUUUGUGGCUCAACCAUAAAAUUGCCGUUGAAACUGGAAGACUUGAGUGUGUUUGAGGUAGGCGGAAUGCGUGGUGUAGCGGUGAAAUGCAUAGAUAUCACGCAGAACUCCGAUUGCGAAGGCAGCUUACUAAGCCAUAACUGACACUGAAGCACGAAAGCGUGGGGAUCAAACAGGAUUAGAUACCCUUGUAGUC
rnacentral:rRNA from 1 species